GACGAACGCUGGCGGCGUGCUUAACACAUGCAAGUCGAACGGAAAGGCCCUGCUUUUGUGGGGUGCUCGAGUGGCGAACGGGUGAGUAACACGUGAGUAACCUGCCCUUGACUUUGGGAUAACUUCAGGAAACUGGGGCUAAUACCGGAUAGGAGCUCCUGCUGCAUGGUGGGGGUUGGAAAGUUUCGGCGGUUGGGGAUGGACUCGCGGCUUAUCAGCUUGUUGGUGGGGUAGUGGCUUACCAAGGCUUUGACGGGUAGCCGGCCUGAGAGGGUGACCGGCCACAUUGGGACUGAGAUACGGCCCAGACUCCUACGGGAGGCAGCAGUGGGGAAUAUUGCACAAUGGGCGGAAGCCUGAUGCAGCAACGCCGCGUGCGGGAUGACGGCCUUCGGGUUGUAAACCGCUUUCGCCUGUGACGAAGCGUGAGUGACGGUAAUGGGUAAAGAAGCACCGGCUAAUUACGUG
rnacentral:rRNA from 1 species